UUGCCCAUUUAAGGCUGACUGUUCCUUGAGCGGCCAGCAUGGGGGUAGAAUAUUUCUCUUAUAAACCUGAAGCAGGGGCUAAAUCUGUUUUUGGAUCCUGUUGGAAGGUACCAAU